CAUCGGCCCCCUCUUAAGGUUUGCUGCAUGACAUGAUGCUGUCAUCCACUAGUAUGUUGUUAGGAUCAGCCCUCACUUUUCAUUUAUUUUUCCAAUUCCGAGAGGCCUACAAUAAAAGAGGCUGAAAUCAUUUCCUUUUACCCUAAAGGUCUAUGGUGUAAUAAUCCGAAUAAACAAGUGAUGGAGCAAAUGGCCAUUUUCUUAGAUGGUCUUGGAUAUCCAAGUUGAAGUGCUUUGAUCCUUGUACGUAUUUUCUGACAUGUUCUGCCCUUCCCCCUCUCAGAAAACAUGAAACUUGUUAAGCAAUCUGGAUUUGGACCACGGACACAUGCUUUGCUUCUGUGUUCAGCAAGUUCAUUCUGAAACUUAUGGAACAGGAAAUGCUUCAUGAUGA